ensembl:miRNA
UGAGGCAGGAGAAUUGCUUGAACCCAGGAGGUGGAGGUUGCAGUGAGCUGAGAUCGAGCCACUGCACUCCAGCCUGGGUGACAGAGUGAGACUCCAUCUC